AGUACAAUUGCUGGAUUAUAUGGUAAGACGAGGCUUUGCUUUGUUUGAAACUGCUAAACUAUUUUCCAAAGCAGCUGUACCAUUUUGCAUUCCCACUAGCAAU
rnacentral:pre_miRNA from 1 species